rnacentral:rRNA from 1 species
CAGCCGCCGCGGUAAUACGUAGGGGGCUAGCGUUGUCCGGAAUUACUGGGCGUAAAGGGCGUGUAGGCGGCCUGUUAAGUCAGGGGUGAAAGACCGGGGCUCAACCCCGGGGGUGCCUCUGAAACUGGCGGGCUUGAGUGCUCUAGAGGGCAGUGGAAUUCCCGGUGUAGCAGUGAAAUGCGUAGAGAUCGGGAGGAACACCAGUGGCGAAGGCGGCUGCCUGGGGAGUCACUGACGCUGAGGCGCGAAAGCUAGGGGAGCAAACAGGAUUAGAUACCCUGGUAGUCCUAGCCGUAAACGAUGAGCGCUAUGUGUGAGGGGUAUCGACCCCCCUCGUGCAGUAGCUAACGCAUUAAGCGCUCCGCCUGGGGAGUACGGCCGCAAGGUUGAAACUUAAAGGAAUUGGCGGG